rnacentral:rRNA from 1 species
UACAGAGGGUGCGAGCGUUGUUCGGAAUUAUUGGGCGUAAAGGGCGCGUAGGCGGCGCCACAAGUCACUUGUGAAAACUCUGGGCUCAACUCAGAGCCUGCAAGCGAAACUGUGGUGCUGGAGUAUGGGAGAGGUGCGUGGAAUUCCCGGCGUAGCGGUGAAAUGCGUAGAUAUCGGGAGGAACACCUGUGGCGAAAGCGGCGCACUGGACCAUAACUGACGCUGAGGCGCGAAAGCUAGGGGAGCAAACAGG